GAUGAACGCUGGCGGCGUGCCUAAUACAUGUCAGUCGAGCGAACAGACGAGGAGCUUGCUCCUCUGACGUUAGCGGCGGACGGGUGAGUAACACGUGGAUAACCUACCUAUAAGACUGGGAUAACUUCGGGAAACCGGAGCUAAUACCGGAUAAUAUAUUGAACCGCAUGGUUCAAUAGUGAAAGACGGUUUUGCUGUCACUUAUAGAUGGAUCCGCGCCGCAUUAGCUAGUUGGUAAGGUAACGGCUUACCAAGGCAACGAUGCGUAGCCGACCUGAGAGGGUGAUCGGCCACACUGGAACUGAGACACGGUCCAGACUCCUACGGGAGGCAGCAGUAGGGAAUCUUCCGCAAUGGGCGAAAGCCUGACGGAGCAACGCCGCGUGAGUGAUGAAGGUCUUCGGAUCGUAAAACUCUGUUAUUAGGGAAGAACAAAUGUGUAAGUAACUAUGCACGUCUUGACGGUACCUAAUCAGAAAGCCACGGCUAACUACGUG
rnacentral:rRNA from 1 species